rfam:Vibrio metschnikovii CIP 69.14 VIB.Contig146, whole genome shotgun sequence.
UUCAUCGUGAGGUGAAAUCUGAAGGAAGCAAAUGGCAAAACGUGGUGAUGACGAACAGAAAUCUGAUAGUAGGCUGUGUCGACUUGGGUAACCUAGCAAUAGAUAGAAUAGCCCAACGACUCGACGAGAAGUGCGAUGCAGUAAAUCAGGCAUGACCACGAGAAAGAACAACGU